rnacentral:rRNA from 1 species
UACGUAGGGUGCGAGCGUUAAUCGGAAUUACUGGGCGUAAAGGGCGCGUAGGCGGUUCGUCAAGUCCUGUGUGAAAUCCCCCGGCUCAACUGGGGAACUGCACAGGAAACUAGCGGGCUUGAGUUCGGGAGAGGGAAGCGGAAUUCCGCGUGUAGCAGUGAAAUGCGUAGAGAUGCGGAGGAACACCGAUGGCGAAGGCAGCCCCCUGGGUCGACACUGACGCUCAGGCACGAAAGCGUGGGGAGCAAACAGG